rnacentral:rRNA from 1 species
CCUACGGGAGGCAGCAGUGGGGAAUAUUGCACAAUGGGGGAAACCCUGAUGCAGCGACGCCGCGUGAGUGAAGAAGUAAUUCGUUAUGUAAAGCCCUAUCAGCAGGGAAGAAAAUGACGGUACCUGAGUAAGAAGCCCCGGCUAACUACGUGCCAGCAGCCGCGGUAAUACGUAGGGGGCAAGCGUUAUCCGGAUUUACUGGGUGUAAAGGGAGCGUAGACGGCAGUGCAGGUCUGGAGUGAAAGGCGGGGGCUUAACCCCCGGACUGCUCUGGAAACUGGACGGCUGGAGUGCAGGAGAGGUAAGUGGAAUUCGUGGUGUAGCGGUGAAAUGCGUAGAUAUUAGGAGGAACACCAGUGGCGAAGGCGGCUUACUGGACUGUAACUGACGCUGAGGCUCGAAAGCGUGGGGAGCGAACAGGAUUAGAUACCCCUGUAGUC